UACGUAGGGUGCAAGCGUUUGUCCGGAAUUAUUGGGCGUAAAGAGCUCGUAGGCGGUUUGUCGCGUCUGCUGUGAAAACCCGAGGCUCAACCUCGGGCCUGCAGUGGGUACGGGCAGACUAGAGUGCGGUAGGGGGAGAUUGGAAUUCCUGGUGUAGCGGUGAAAUGCGCAGAUAUCAGGAGGAACACCGGUGGCGAAGGCGGGUCUCUGGGCAGUAACUGACGCUGAGGAGCGAAAGCAUGGGGAGCGAACAGG
rnacentral:rRNA from 1 species